AGGUCAUUUUUAAACUGGUUCCACGGAUGAUAUGCGUGACGUGCUUAGCGCUUUUAGUUACUUUAUGUAGACAGGAGUCCAGUCAAGGUCAUAUUUGCCCCAAGCGGACUUGCACGUUUCGUCGAGAGGAUGAGGAAAAUAAGGAAACACCUUGUGUAUGAUGUUCUUCACAAAAGUGUGGUGACGGGAUUGAUAGGACUGACCGCAAUAGGAUGUGGACUUCUGACUUGGAGGGGGUACAGAUACCUGUCUUAUGUUCGUCCGCUACAGUUGGAGAGGAAACGGAUGCUGGCUGAAGAACAGAUGAGGAUGGAGCAGAAUGAAAAGGAGGCAGAGCUGCAACGACGUCAGAAAGAGGCUGAAGCUCUGUAGAGAAUAAGAACAUCUGAAAGUGUGAUAAAACAAUUCAAGAACAGACUCUCCCUAAAGCCUGAAUGGUGGUACAAAGUGACUGAAAAGGAUGAAUAUCCUAUUAGACCAUAUUGUACAGGCAUGAAAACAGCAGAGCACCUGGCUUGAUUUAAUUUUAUCAAUAGACAAGAUGACAAUUCUUCUUCAAGACAACAGGAGGUGUCAAGUUUUGUAACACCAGCAUAUUUUGUAUAUGCUGACUAUAUCAUUAUGGACAAUGCAUUGAGUAGGAGGGCAUUAGUUCUUAAUUGUUGGUUCACAGAUUUACUUACCCUGCUCUCAUCAAUAUGGAUAACAAAUAAAUAUUUCAGAAUGACUAAAUGUUAUUAAGGAAAUCUGUGGCAACAUCAAUACAGUGCACACUUUGACAUUGAAUUUUCACCAAGUUCAGAACUCAUUACUUUUCAUACUCUGUUUGUGAUAAAUCUUAUGACCCUACCCCUGCUCCUAACACACAGGCCCAUCAAAAUAUUCCUUCAAUUUUCCCCAAAUUGCUAAAGUUUUGCUGCAGAUGCUGGCCCAUGGAGACUUGCUGUUUCUCCGACACCCUGAUCCAACAAACCAAAACGUAUUGGCCUAUUGGGUUUCAUUUCUAUAAUUAGGUUUGUACAAGUUUUGUCAGGUGACGGAUCUGGAAUGUGUGGACAUUUUGUAUGUUAAUGUUUUGAAUGCUAGUGAUAAACAGAAAACAUGUGAGGAACAGGCCCAGAAGAACCUGUUUCUACAUGUGGUAGUAUUCGUGUGUCAGUGCUGCUGUAUAUAGGAGUGUUCAGGAAGUAUUAAACUUUUCAUCAUACUGUAA